AGACGUCUACAUUAGAUACCCCCGUAGUCCCAGCCGUAAACAAUGUGCGUUAGGUGUGUCGGUAACCACGUGUUACUGAUGCGCCGAAGAGAAAUCGUGAAACGCACCACCUGGGAAGUACGGUCGCAAGGCUGAAACUUAAAGGAAUUGGCGGGGAGCACCACAACGGGUGGAGCCUGCGGUUUAAUUGGACUCAACGCCGGGAAGCUCACCGGAUAGGACAGCAGAAUGAUUGCCGGGCUGAAGACCCUGCAUGACUAGCUG
rnacentral:rRNA from 1 species